CAGUCGCCGCGGUAAUGCGUAGGGUGCAAGCGUUAAUCGGAAUUACUGGGCGUAAAGCGUGCGCAGGCGGUUCGCUAAGACAGAUGUGAAAUCCCCGGGCUUAACCUGGGAACUGCGCUUGUGACUGCACAUCUAGAGUAUGGCAGAGGGGGGUGGAAUUCCACGUGUAGCAGUGAAAUGCGUAGAGAUGUGGAGGAACACCGAUGGCGAAGGCAGCCUCCUGGGCCAAUACUGACGCUCAUGCACGAAAGCGUGGGGAGCAAACAGGAUUAGAUACCCGCGUAGUCCCUGUCUCUUAUAC
rnacentral:rRNA from 1 species